GAGGGUAUAGCCCAAUGGUAGAGUGUGUGACAAGGUCCUGGGUUCAAUCCCCAGCACCUCCA
rnacentral:tRNA from 1 species